GAGGGUAUAGCUCAGUGGUAGAGUGCAUGCUUAGCAUGCAAAAGAUCCUGGGUUCAAUCUCCAGUACCUCCA
rnacentral:tRNA from 1 species